AGACACAACCCAAAUACUCAUCAACAGUAGAAUAUUUAACUGCAUUGCCAUUGAUUUAUACCUUAGAGCUGGGGGAAUGAAUGAAUCAGAACUAUGGAAAAAUGAACAUAGAUGAAUCUCAGGAGCAAAAUACUGACCAAUAUAUUCUAUGUGAUAAAUAAAUAAAUAAGUACAUAAAUUCAAAAAACAUAACAACCAAUAAUGUAUUAUUCAGUGAUAGUAAAAUUUUCAGAAAAAAAAUAUUAAGAAAAGUAGGGUAAUAAAGUAUACAAAAUUUAGGAUAAUGAUUACCACAGAGGCAGAAAGGAAGGGAUGGGAUCACAGAGGAGCAGAGAACAAUUUUGAAAUGUAAAAAGCCAUGUUCUUUUUCUUUAACUGUAUGGGGAAUGUGUAGACAUGUUAUAUUAUUUAUUUUUUAUAUUUCUCAGUUAUAAGAUUCCAUAUCGUCUACUUGAUACAUAGCAAAAUUAAUUUUAAACAAAAAUCUAAAGAAAAUGCUUAAAGAAAAAAGGCUAUUCAUUGAACAGGAAUCCCAGUCAGUCAAUAAACAUGAGAAGUUGUCCAAACUCACUAUUAAUCAGGACUACAAAUAAAACAAUAAUCAGAUAAUAUUCAUGAGAUUGUCAAAAAUUUUAAAAGUUGACCAGGCUAGGUGUUUUUAAGGUUUUAGGGAAACAGAUAUUCCAAUCAACUUCUCGUGAAAAGGUAAAAAGAUAUACUCACAUAGAAGACAAUUUUGUUCAUCUAUUAAUUUAACAAUGUAUAAACCUACAACCAACAAAAUUUCAAAAUGAUUCCAUUUUUAUUCAAUAUAUUUUCAAAGUAAUACCAUUUUUGAAAAAUAUAUGCACAAAAUAAUAUUUUUUUUGUCUUUUGUCUUUUUAGGGCCACACUGGCAGCAUAUGGAGGUUCCCAGGCUAGGGGUCCAAUCAGAGCUGUAGCUGCCAGCCUACGCCACAGUCGCAGCAAUGCAGGAUCUGAGCUACAUCUGUGACCUACACCAAAGCUCACAGCAAGGCCAGAUCCUUAACCCACUGAGCAAGGCCAGGAAUCAAACCCUUGUCUUCAUGGGUACUAGUUGGGUUUGUUAACCACUGAGCCAUGAUGAGAACUCCCACAAAAUAAUAUUUUUGUGAGUAUAGCUUUUAGAUAAAAAUAGACUACAUGGAUUGGAGAGAAAUGGACCAGGAGGAAUAUAGUCAAUGAGGGUUCUAUCUUCUGUAAUGUUCUAAUUAUUUUUAAGCAUAUUUAUGUAUUGCUUGUUUCAUUAUAUUUAAUCUUACAAAGGAAAUACAAUUAUAGCUGCAUACAAAAUUUGCAGCUAAUUAAAUGCAGUAUUUAAAUGAAAUUAGAGCAUUUUCAUCCUUUAAUGUUUAUAUUAAAAACUAUGAUGAACUUAAUGAGUUAGAAUAUCAGUUAAAGAAGUGAGAAAAGAAACAAGCAGAACAAGUCCAAAGAACAAAAUUAAGUAAAAAAUAAAGAUAAAAACAGGAAUAAAAAUAGAAAACAAAACUACAAUAAAGAGGAUUAACAGAGCCAGGUUGUUUAUUUGAAAAGACCAACAAAAUAGACAAUCUUGAUAAAACAGAAAGAGAAAACAAAAAUUAUCCAUGUUAGAAAAGAAAAGGAGGUGGUAACCAUAGGUGUUACGGAAGUUAAAAAGUUAAUAUGUCAUCCAAAUAAAUCUAAAAAUUUAGAUGAAAUGGACAAUUUCCUAGAAACAUAACUUAUCAAAACUGUCUGACAGGGAAAAAAACUAGAUAGACCUAUACUUGUUAAAGAAAUUAAAUCAGUUGCUGAAAAUCUAUUUACCAAGAAAUAUAAGGCCCAGAUUAUUUUAUGAGUUCUAACUUUCAAGAAACGGAUCUUUCAAUUUUAUACAACUUUCACGAAAAAAGAUAAAGGAGGAAUGCUCCCCAAAUCAUUUAAUGAAACUAUUAUAAUACUCCUGAAAUAAAUAUCAGUCAGUGGCAGUAAUAAAAAUGAAAAGUAUAUGCCAAUCUCACUUAUGAACAUAUGCAAGGGUUGUGAACACAAUAUCAGCAAGCUGAAUUCAUCAAUGUAAAAAAAAGUACACUAUGACUGAGCUGGGUUUAUCCCAGGAAUAUAAGUAUGCUCUAACAUCAGAAUAUUUUCAGUAUAAUUUACCACAUAAACAAAUGAAAAAUAAAAAAUCUCAGUAGAUAUAGAAAAAGUGUUGAAUAUGACAGAGUCCACAUAAAUUGCUUUAAAAAAUUCUUGGCAAAAUACAGAGGAAGAAUUUUCUUUAUCUGAAAACAGGUAUUCGGUUAAAAACUCAUAGAAAAUACCAUACAUGGCAGUGAACUUUUUAGAAGUGCAAUCCCUUUUGAAUUGUUUAAGUAUUCUUUUGGUGUAUGUUUUGGUUGUCUUCUGUAGUUUUUUUUUAUUUUAAGCAGUGAACAUCUUAAUGUAAAUCUAUGUAUACUUGUCACAUUAUUUCCUUAGGAAAAAUUCCAAGAAGUAGAAUUGUUCAGAUCAUGGUUUUACAUCCUAUAAAUUUUAUUAUAUUUUCCUAAACUUCUGUGAAGGAAGACUGUGCAAACUUAUAGUGACAUAAAUCAUUUCUUGAGAGUUCCCUUUUUAUUCAUCUUACUUAUUCAACAGACUUUUAUUGAGCAUUAUGAUACGCUGAGGACUCUGUUGGGGUUUGCUGUUCAGUGACAAACAAAGCAAAUAUGCUUGAUGCCCUUCUGGAGCUUACAGAUUAGUUUGGGGGUUGUCUGUAUCAUCUUCUUUAAGAAAUUGCCUGUUUGUGACUUAACCCAUUCUUCUGUGUUCUCAGUUUGAUUUUCCAGAAGAUAAGAUUUUAGGGUAUUCGGUAUCUGAAGUAUAAGGGGUACAAGGAAUGACAUCUCUUUGGAUAAAGUAACUUUGUUUUCCAAACCAAAAGUAGAACAGAUGGGAUAAAAGCACAAGAGUACUUAUAUGGGGACAAAAGAACAAAGUAUUUGAAAAGAGGUUGGUGUCCUCAAGUCAGAAAUAUAUGAUUACUUCUCCCAGGGAAAGGGAGGGAGUGCAGCACACAGAGAGGCUGGGGGCGAAGGCCAGAAACUGCAUCGUGUUCCCAGCUUUGCCUUGAGCAGGCUCUGCAAUACUCCCAUAUGGACAGUAAUUUCACUCAAAUUAAACACAGAAAUCCCUAUGGAGGAGGACCCUUCAAUACUAUUUAUCAUUCUCAGUCAGCAACUUUAAAAAAUAAUACAAAACUCAAUGAUGACAAGAUAACAAACUAGCUUCAGCUACAGGCUCCUUCCUCCCAAAUCAAGUCUGGAGAAUCUACAUAAUUGAGAAGCAUGGAACUGAGCAGAUAACAAAAACUAUUAAGGACACCUGGAAAGGCCAGAGGUGGUCUCGAAGUGGUGUGAGGAAUGGCCACACCUGCACAAUAGCCCAAGCAGGAGCCAGAAAAGAGGAUCAUUUAGAGAUUUUAACUUCUGCAUUCACCCAUUGCCCUCAUUGUUUUGGGGUGAACUUCACCUGUCACAGAUGUGGCUCUGAUUUAGUGUUUCUGUGGCUGUGGUGUAGGCCUGCAGCUGCAGAUUUGAUUUCACCCCUAGUCCAGGAACUUCCAUAUGCCACAGGUGCAGCCAU
rnacentral:lncRNA from 1 species